CAGAAGUACCAUUGGCUCACAAAACCCUCAAUAUAAUUCUGCCACAUGGCAAACACAACAGGUACACAGCGGCACACUUCUUCACUGAAGUAAAAGCCAGCGUCGCAGCGUCUCGUCCGCACUGUACACGGAGG